rnacentral:rRNA from 1 species
GACGAACGCUGGCGGCGUGGAUUAGGCAUGCAAGUCGAACGACGAAUAGCCUUCGGGCUAUUACGGAGUGGCGAACGGGUGAGUAACACGUGAUUAACCUGUCCUCACGUUCCGGAUAAUUGGGAGAAAUCCCUUGUAAUACGGGCGAGGGUCAUUAAAGGGCAUCCUUUGAUGAAGGAACAAGCAAUUGGUGCGAGGAGGGAAUCGCGGCCUAUCAGUUAGUUGGUGGGGUAACGGCCUACCAAGACGACGACGGGUAGCUGGUCUGAGAGGAUGGUCAGCCACAUUGGAACUGAGAUACUGUCCAGACUCCUACGGGAGGCUGCAGUCGAGAAUCUUGGGCAAUGCACGAAAGUGUGACCCAGCGACGCCGCGUGGAGGAUGAAGGUGCUCUGCAUUGUAAACUCCUUUUAUGGGAGAAGAAAACCCCCUUUGGGGCUUGACGGUAACCCAUGAAUAAGCCACGGCUAACUACGUGCCAGCCGCCGCAGUAAC